rnacentral:piRNA from 1 species
UAAUUGCUGUGAGCAGGAGUUUUUCUGUA